rnacentral:rRNA from 1 species
GACGAACGCUGGCGGCGCGCUUAACACAUGCAAGUCGAGCGAAGCGGCGGACGGGUGAGUAACACGUGAGUAACCUGCCUUAGACAUUGGGAUAGCCUCGGGAAACCGGGAUUAAUACCAAAUGGUCUAAGAUGGACUCGGGUCCCAUUAGCUAGUUGGUGGGUAACGGGCCCCCAAGGCGACGAUGGGUAGCCGGGCUGAGAGGGAGAACGGCCACGUUGGAACUGAGAAACGGUCCAAACUCUACGGGAGGGAGCAGAGGGGGAUAUUGCACAAUGGAGGGAACUCUGAUGCAGCGAGGCCGCGUGAACGAAGAAGGCUGUCGAGUCGUAAAGUUCUUUGAUAUGGGAAGCGGUACCAUAAGAAAAAGCCCCGGCUAACUACGUGCCAGCAGCCGCGGUAAUUC